rnacentral:rRNA from 1 species
AUAACGCGUGGGAACGUACCUUUUGGUUCGGAACAACACAGGGAAACUUGUGCUAAUACCGGAUAAGCCCUUACGGGGAAAGAUUUAUCGCCGAAAGAUCGGCCCGCGUCUGAUUAGCUAGUUGGUAAGGUAAUGGCCUACCAAGGCGACGAUCAGUAGCUGGUCUGAGAGGAUGAUCAGCCACAUUGGGACUGAGACACGGCCCAAACUCCUACGGGAGGCAGCAGUGGGGAAUAUUGGACAAUGGGGGCAACCCUGAUCCAGCCAUGCCGCGUGAGUGAUGAAGGCCCUAGGGUUGUAAAGCUCUUUUGUGCGGGAAGAUAAUGACGGUACCGCAAGAAUAAGCCCCGGCUAACUUCGUGCCAGCAGCCGCGGUAAUACGAAGGGGGCUAGCGUUGCUCGGAAUCACUGGGCGUAAAGGGUGCGUAGGCGGGUCUUUAAGUCAGGGGUGAAAUCCUGGAGCUCAACUCCAGAACUGCCUUUGAUACUGAAGAUCUUGAGUCCGGGAGAGGUGAGUGGAACUGCGAGUGUANAGGUGAAAUUCGUAGAUAUUCGCAAGAACACCAGUGGCGAAGGCGGCUCACUGGCCCGGUACUGACGCUGAGGCACGAAAGCGUGGGGAGCAAACAGGA